rnacentral:rRNA from 1 species
CGCCUAACACAUGCAAGUCGAACGAAGUAGCAAUACUUAGUGGCAGACGGGUGAGUAACAUGUAGGUAUCUACCCUUUGGCCUGGAAUAACACGAGGAAACUUGUGCUAAUACUGGAUAAGUCUUAACGGAGAAAGCUUUAUGCACCAUUGGAUGAGCCUGCACUUGAUUAGUUUGUUGGUGGGGUAAUGGCCUACCAAGACUGUGAUCAAUAGCUGAUUUGAGAGGAUGAUCAGCCACAUUGGGACUGAGACACGGCCCAAACUCCUACGGGAGGCAGCAGUGGGGAAUCUUGCACAAUGGAGGAAACUCUGAUGCAGCGAUGCCGCGUGAGUGAAGAAGGCCCUUGGGUUGUAAAGCUCUUUCGUCGGGGAAGAAAAUGACUGUACCCGAAUAAGAAGGUCCGGCUAACUUCGUGCCAGCAGCCGCGGUAAUACGAAGGGACCUAGCGUAGUUCGGAAUUACUGGGCUUAAAGAGUUCGUAGGUUGUUGAAAAAGUUGGUGGUGAAAUCCCAGAGCUUAACUCUGGAACUGCCAUCAAAACUUUUCAGCUAGAGUGUGAUAGAGGAAAGCAGAAUUUCUAGUGUAGAGGUGAAAUUCGUAGAUAUUAGAAAGAAUACCAAUUGCGAAGGCAGCUUUCUGGAUCAUUACUGACACUGAGGAACGAAAGCAUGGGUAGCGAAGAGGAUUAGAUACCCUCGUAGUCCAUGCCGUAAACGAUGUGUGUUAGACGUUGGAAAUUUAUUUUCAGUGUCGCAGCGAAAGCGAUAAACACACCGCCUGGGGAGUACGACC